CAUGCCGCGGUGAAUACGUUCCCGGGCCUUGUACACACCGCCCGUCACACCAUGGGAGUUGGUUUUACCCGAAGGCGCUGUGCUAACCGCAAGGAGGCAGGCGACCACGGUAGGGUCAGCGACUGGGGUGAAGUCGUAACAAGGUAGCCGUAGGGGAACCUGCGGCUGGAUCACCUCCUU
rnacentral:rRNA from 1 species